rnacentral:lncRNA from 1 species
AUGGCCCCGGAUCCGGAAACGGAUGCGACUCGAACCCGGCAGCGGAGCUCCCGGCAUCGCGAAUCUCAGGGGUCUCCGGGCCAGCGGCGCGAGAGCGGGCCCGGCAAGUGGCGCCAGAACGAGGGACGUGGGCGGACCCCAGCGCACAGCCACCCAAAAAUAUUGAAAGUGAUCCCGGGAGAAAACCUCACCUAUUCAGGUUCCAGAAAAAAUGAUAAUGAGACUACUGCUCUCGAACAAGACUCAGAUUCGGAACUUUCUCCUGAUGAGGAAGAGGAUUUAAAAGAGCAGGCUUUUGAGCAUGACAAAGAAGGAUGGGAUGCCUUUAUAGUAACUCAACAAAAGAAUAAAGACCAAGGCUCCCCUUUUUCUGAACUUAGAGAGAUGCUAACAUCCAUAUCUCAGAGAAUGGAACAACUAGACUUAUCGCCCAUAAAUACAA